AGUGUGUUGGCAGAAUAGUGCAACUGAUUUAGGAUCGGUUCAAGGAGUAACAUACCACACACCC
rnacentral:tRNA from 1 species